rnacentral:rRNA from 1 species
UACAGAGGUCUCAAGCGUUGUUCGGAUUCAUUGGGCGUAAAGGGCGCGUAGGCGGCGGGGUAAGUCGGGUGUGAAAUCUCAGGGCUCAACCCUGAAACUGCACUCGAUACUGCUCUGCUUGAGGACUGGAGAGGAGACUGGAAUUCACGGUGUAGCAGUGAAAUGCGUAGAUAUCGUAAGGAAGACCAGUGGCGAAGGCGGGUCUCUGGACAGUUCCUGACGCUGAGGCACGAAGGCCAGGGGAGCAAACGGG